CUUUGUGAUGGAGUGAUGAGAUAUACAGUGAAAGGAGUAGAGCACGAGAGAUUUCAAGCAGCAUCACCUUCCAGGAUGAAAAGGGAAAAGAGAGAAAGAG